rnacentral:rRNA from 1 species
AAUGGACGCAAGUCUGACCCAGCCAUGCCGCGUGAAGGAAGACGGCCCUAUGGGUUGUAAACUUCUUUUCUCAGGGGGUAAACUCUGGAACGUGUUCCGGACUGAAAGUACCUGAGGAAUAAGCAUCGGCUAACUCCGUGCCAGCAGCCGCGGUAAUACGGAGGAUGCGAGCGUUAUCCGGAUUCAUUGGGUUUAAAGGGUGCGCAGGCGGAUAUAUAAGUCGGAGGUGAAAUUCUGAUGCUCAACAUCAGCCGUGCCUUCGAUACUGUAUAUCUAGAGUCAAGUUGGAGUAGGCGGAAUGUGUUGUGUAGCGGUGAAAUGCUUAGAUAUAACACAGAACACCGAUCGCGAAGGCAGCUUACUAAACUUUGACUGACGCUCAUGCACGAAAGCGUGGGGAUCAAA